UAUAGGAUAUGCGUUAAACUCUCCGGAACACUUGCCAAACCCUAAAUGAAUCCCUAAAACCCACUAAAUUAAACUUUUUGCAAGGGAUUUGCAAGGGUUUCAUCGCAAAAGCCUCGCAAUAUUGCAAGGAACUUGCGAGAACACUUCGAAACCCCUGUCUAAACCUCAAACGAAACCUAAAGACAUUAAAAAAAGAUUUUGCAACGGAUUUGCGAUGAAACACGAUAAGUCUCUCGCAAAACACUUGCAAUUUUGCAAGGGAUAACCGUUGCAAUUCGCUUGCAAAUUGCAAGGAUUUUGUGACGGAAAUUAGGUUAAUAUAUAAACACACUUAACCUUUCCUCUCCAUUUCACUCUGAUCCGAUCUCCUCUCUGUCUCCCGCCUCUCCUCUCUUUCUCCCUGUGGUCUCUCCUCUCCGCCUCUCCCUCGCCGUGUCCCGCCUCUCUCCGCCCUCUCCCCGCCUCUCCUUCUUCCCUUGGUCUCUCCCCUCCGCCUCUCCCUUGCCGUGUCCUCUCUCCUCCGCCUCUCCCUCACCGUGUAUUUUCUCUCUCCGCCGCUCCCCGCCUCUCCCCGCCUCUCCUUCUCCCCGUGGUCGCUCCUCCCCGCCUCUCCCUUGCCGUGCCCUCUCUCCUCCGCCUCUCCCGCGCCGUGUACUCUCUCUCUCCGCCUCUCCUUCUCGCCGCUGCCUCGCCGGAUCUUCGCCUCAGCCUUGCCGGAUCUCUCUCCUCACCGUGUAUUUUCUCUCUCCGCCGCUCCCCGCCUCUCCCCGCCUCUCCUUCUCGCCGCUGCCUCGCCGGAUCUUCGCCUCAGCCUUGCCGGAUCUCUCUC
rnacentral:lncRNA from 1 species